rnacentral:rRNA from 1 species
UACGGAGGGGGCUAGCGUUGUUCGGAAUUACUGGGCGUAAAGCGCACGUAGGCGGAUUGGAAAGUUGGGGGUGAAAUCCCGGGGCUCAACCUCGGAACUGCCUCCAAAACUAUCAGUCUAGAGUUCGAGAGAGGUGAGUGGAAUUCCGAGUGUAGAGGUGAAAUUCGUAGAUAUUCGGAGGAACACCAGUGGCGAAGGCGGCUCACUGGCUCGAUACUGACGCUGAGGUGCGAAAGCGUGGGGAGCAAACAGG